rnacentral:sRNA from 1 species
UUCCGCCAAACAGCUGUCGAGAAAUUAAAUUCAAACAGGUAUUCUUAAAAUGAUAAUGUUGAUUACAAUCUAAUUUCAUCUAUUAUCUAAGCCAGGGUGGUAUAAAUAAUCUAGGUAACGCCGUUACACCGCCGGUAAUUUCCAGCUACGCCUACUAAAGGGUGUAGAUAACAAGAAAACCUAUAAUCCAAGUAAAGAAUAGUCAAUGACAAAUCUAGGAACCCAACUCCUUACUGAUGAAUGGUCCCCAUGAAUCUUCCUCAGAAAGCUGAAUGGAAAUGAAAGGUAAGGGAAACGGAAAAGAGAACGGAAGAACGAAGCUAAAUAAAUUCGCAUGACGCCUGGAUAAGGUGGGCAGAACGAAACAAAAAUGAUACAAGGAGCAACAUGUAGGAAUAUGGCUCACGGAUGGAGAAGAAAGUCUGUUUGUUCAUUGUGAGUUAGUACAGAGGGGGGUUUUGCUAUCGCCUCAUCUUUUGAGGGCAUAGUUCUUGUUGAUUGCAUGCUGUCUUCCUGUGCUUUCAGGUCACUGUCCUUGCUGUUCUCAGCACCAAGUGACUCUGCAAUCAUUGAUACUGAAGUGUUAUGUUCUGUUGGAGGCAAAUUACUUUCCACGAAGUUAGUGUUCUCCUUUUCUUUGUCGUCAGGAGAAAAAUCAGUAAUUGGUGUUGUGGGUUCUGAGCCAAGAGGGGCUUCGAUGAUCAAAAGCUCGUCAGACAUUUGUUCUUGGCUUUUCUUUGUGGAUGAGCCAGGACGACUUGGAAGUGGAGGUUUAGGUACAGGACGAGAAGCCUUCUGCGGUCGCUCGGGUAAUAGCGGCGGGGGCAAUGGUUUACGUUUCGGUAUGGAAGGAUUAGACAAGAAGCCAAACUUGUCUGGA